rnacentral:rRNA from 1 species
UAGGGAAUCUUCCACAAUGGACGAAAGCCUGAUGGAGCAACGCCGCGUGUGUGAUGAAGGGUUUCGGCUCGUAAAACACUAUUGUAAGAGAAGAAUGACAUUGAGAGUAACUGUUCAAUGUGUGACGGUAUCUUACCAGAAAGGAACGGCUAAAUACGUGCCAG